rnacentral:rRNA from 1 species
UGAGGAAUAUUGGUAAAUGGACGCAAGUCUGAACCAGCCAAGUAGCGUGCAGGAUGACGGCCCUAUGGGUUGUAAAUUGCUUUUAUAUGGGGAUAAAGUGGGGAACGUGUUCCCUUUUGCAGGUACCAUAUGAAUAAGGACCGGCUAAUUCCGUGCCAGCAGCCGCGGUAAUACGGAAGGUUCGGGCGUUAUCCGGAUUUAUUGGGUUUAAAGGGAGCGUAGGCCGUUUGGUAAGCGUGUUGUGAAAUGUAGGAGCUCAACUUCUAGAUUGCAGCGCGAACUGUCAGACUUGAGUGCGCACAACGUAGGCGGAAUUCAUGGUGUAGCGGGGAAAUGCUUAGGUAUCAUGAAGAACUCCGAUUGCGAAAGCAGCUUAAGGGAGCGCAACUGACGCUGAAGCUCGAAGGUGCGGGUAUCGAACAGG